AUGCAUAGACGGACAAAGUCAAUGUUGAUGAUGCACCGCUCCAGGCUUUCCAGCCUGGGAACACGUCGUGGACGAAGGCACGCGUCGGUGUUUCCAGCGUCGGGCAUACGUAGAUGGGGACUUGCACGAGUUGCACACCAUGUCGAGGGGGCUAGCAGAGAAGGACUCAAUGAUGGUUGCAGCGCAUAUUGGCGUGCGGCUGAUGUUGCCGCGGUGGUCGGAGUAGAUGAAGUGGUCGAGGAAGAUAAUGACAAUGCUGGCGAUGAGCUGGUGCUGGACGAAGAUGAAAGGGGUGGACAACAGCGGUCGCUUGGGUGA
rnacentral:rRNA from 1 species